GAUGAACGCUGGCGGCGUGCCUAAUACAUGCAAGUCGAGCGAACGGACGAGAAGCUUGCUUCUCUGAUGUUAGCGGCGGACGGGUGAGUAACACGUGGAUAACCUACCUAUAAGACUGGGAUAACUUCGGGAAACCGUAGCUAAUACCGGAUAAUAUUUUGAACCGCAUGGUUCAAAAGUGAAAGACGGUCUUGCUGUCACUUAUAGAUGGAUCCGCGCUGCAUUAGCUAGAUGGUAAGGUAACGGCUUACCAAGGCAACGAUGCAUAGCCGACCUGAGAGGGUGAUCGGCCACACUGGAACUGAGACACGGUCCAGACUCCUACGGGAGGCAGCAGUAGGGAAUCUUCCGCAAUGGGCGAAAGCCUGAUGGAGCAACGCCGCGUGAGUGAUGAAGGUCUUCGGAUCGUAAAACUCUGUUAUUAGUGAAGAACAUAUGUGUAAGUAACUGUGCACAUCUUGACGGUACCUAAUCAGAAAGCCACGGCUAACUACGUG
rnacentral:rRNA from 1 species